rnacentral:rRNA from 1 species
CCUACGGGAGGCAGCAGUGAGGAAUAUUGGUCAAUGGCCGGAAGGCUGAACCAGCCAAGUCGCGUGAGGGAAUAAGGCCCUAUGGGUCGUAAACCUCUUUUGUCAGGGAGCAAAGGCGUCCACGUGUGGACGAGAGGAGAGUACCUGAAGAAUAAGCACCGGCUAACUACGUGCCAGCAGCCGCGGUAAUACGUAGGGUGCGAGCGUUAAUCGGAAUUACUGGGCGUAAAGGGUGUGCAGGCGGUUUUGCAAGAUGGAUGUGAAAGCCCCGGGCUUUACCUGGGGAAGCCAU